rnacentral:rRNA from 1 species
UACGAAGGGUGCAAGCGUUAAUCGGAAUUACUGGGCGUAAAGCGUGCGUAGGCGGUGAGUUAAGUCUGUUGUGAAAUCCCCGGGCUCAACCUGGGAAUGGCAAUGGAUACUGUCUCGCUAGAGUGUGAUAGAGGAUGGUGGAAUUCCCGGUGUAGCGGUGAAAUGCGUAGAGAUGUGGAGGAACACCGAUGGCGAAGGCAGCCUCCUGGGCCAACACUGACGCUCAUGCACGAAAGCGUGGGGAGCAAACAGG